AUACCAUGAUGAGGACACCUUCUGAACAAUUUCUUGAACCUUUCCCAAGCCUUGUACAAACUCUCAUCUUCAAGUUAAUGGAAGGAAGUAAUUUCAUUUCGUAAUUUU
rfam:Citrus sinensis cultivar Ridge Pineapple sweet orange scaffold00783_contig_3, whole genome shotgun sequence.